rnacentral:rRNA from 1 species
CAGCCGCCACGGUAAUACAGAGGAUGCAAGCGUUAUCCGGAAUGAUUGGGCGUAAAGGGCUCGCAGGCGGUUUCUUAAGUCUGAUGUGAAAGCCCCCGGCUCAACCGGGGAGGGUCAUUGGAGACUGGGAAACUUGAGUGCAGAAGAGGAGAGUGGAAUUCCACGUGUAGCGGUGAAAUGCGUAGAGAUGUGGAGGAACACCAGUGGCGAAGGCGACUCUCUGGUCUGUAACUGACGCUGAGGAGCGAAAGCGUGGGGAGCGAACAGGAUUAGAGACCCCUGUAGUCCCUGUCUCUUAUAC